UACGAAGGGGGCUAGCGUUGUUCGGAUUUACUGGGCGUAAAGCGCACGUAGGCGGAUCGUUAAGUCGGGGGGUGAAAUCCUGGAGCUCAACUCCAGAACUGCCUUCGAUACUGGCGAUCUUGAGUCCGGAAGAGGUGAGUGGAACUCCUAGUGUAGAGGUGGAAUUCGUAAAUAUUAGGAAGAACACCAGUGGCGAAGGCGGCUUACUGGUCCGGAACUGACGCUGAGGUGCGAAAGCGUGGGGAGCAAACAGG
rnacentral:rRNA from 1 species